GGACAAGCAGGAGGUCAUGUAACCUAAAGGGAUAACGAUGGGAUUGGACAAGCAGGAAGGUAGGAUGCCCUUGAAAUUAAAGGCUGGAGGGAAGGGCCUUAGCAGCGUCAACAAAAGCCAUCCGGAGCUCAGGCCGUUCAAUUAAAUCAACAUUAAUGAAGUGCCAGGAACUGUGCUCGGCUUUGCCUGCGAAACAUGAAACAGUCCCUGCCUUCGAGAAGUUUAUUUCAGAAUCACAAAACCUCAGGGGGCAUCUUGUCCAUCCCAUGCCCAGAAGGAAAUUACUACCAUAAUGUCACUACACCCACCACCAGUCCAUGGCUAUUGCAAAAGCCUACUGCUGCCCAAGUGGUCUCAAGCCUUUACUCAGACACCCAAAGGAGAAGGACUUGUCUCCUCCAAGGCAUCCAACCCUUAUUAAAACCCAGCACAACUUCAAACUGUGCAUACCCUUUGAUCCAGCAGUGUUGCUACUGGGCUUAUAUCCCAAAGAGAUCAUAAAGAAGGGAAAGGGACCCGUAUGUGCAUGAAUGUUUGUGGCAGCCCUCUUUGUAGUGGCUAGAAACUGGAAACUGAGUGGAUGCCCAUCAGUUGGAGAAUGGCUGAAUAAAUUGUGGUAUAUGAAUAUUAUGGAAUAUUAUUGUUCUGUAAGAAGUGACCAACAGGAUGAUUUCAGAAAGGCCUGGGGAGACACGAACUGAUGCUGAGUGAAAUGAGCAGGACCAGGAGAUCAUUCUAUACUUCAACAACAAUACUAUAUGAUGACCAGUUCUGAUGGACCUGGCCAUCCUCAGCAACGAGAUCAACCAAAUCAUUUCCAAUGGAGCAGUAAUGAACUGAACCAGCUACACCCAGAGAAAGAACUCUGGGAGAUGACUAAAAACCAUUACAUUGAAUUCCCACUCCCUAUAUUUUUGCCUACCUGCAUUUUUUAUUUCCUUCACAAGCUAAUUGUACAAUAUUUCAGAGUCUGAUUCUAUUUGUAUAGCAAAAUAAUGGUUUGGUCAUGUAGACUUAAUGUGUAUCUAAUUUAUAUUUUAAUAUAUUUAACAUCUACUGGUCAUCCUGCCAUCUGGGGGAGGGGGUGGGGAGUAAGAGGUGAAAAAUUGGAACAAGAGGUUUGGCAAUUGUUAAUGCUGUAAAGCUACCCAUACAUAUAACCUGUAAAUAAAAGGCCAUUAAAAAUAAAUAAAUAAAUUUAAUUAAUUAAUUAAAAAAAAAC
rnacentral:lncRNA from 1 species